UACGGGGGGGGCAAGCGUUAUUCGGAAUUACUGGGCGUAAAGGGCGUGUAGGCGGUCCUAUUUGUCGAGGGUGAAAUCCCCUGGCUUAACCAGGGAACUGCUCUCGAAACGGUAAGACUUGAGUCCGGGAGAGGAAAGCGGAAUUCCCAGUGUAGCGGUGAAAUGCGUAGAUAUUGGGAGGAACACCGGUGGCGAAGGCGGCUUUCUGGACCGGUACUGACGCUGAUACGCGAAAGCUAGGGGAGCAAACAGG
rnacentral:rRNA from 1 species